UAAGUCAUGUGGCAUUGACAACCCAGAGAAAUUUAAAAUUUAUGUGGAAGAAAAUUAAACAGCAUAUCGAUGGAUGAGAUAGGCAUGAUGGUUUCUCCUUGAUGUCAUUGCAUGUUGAUGAAGGGACAGCACUAUGAAAUAUGAGAUGCUAAUUUCAUCAAAAUACUACCCUGAUUUUGCAAGGAGCUACACAAGGAGCCAUUCCUUUUCCACAAAAGGAAGGCUUGAUUAUUUAUUACUGUAAAAACAAAACCAGAAAAGUAACUGCCAUAUGUUUCCCAUUUUCUUCAUUUCCUUUCUAUUCCAUGAAGUAUAGAUAUUCCUAUUAAUUCAAAAAAAGGCAAACUAUCACCUCUUGUCUUUGUUUUUCUUAAAUCUAGAAAUGUUUAGCAAAUUUAAUUUAAAACAGUCACAUGUCUUGCCCUGUUUUUUUCAUUUUUAGAAUAAACUGAAGUGUUUCAGCUUUUGGUGUCUGUCCUGCUUGUUCACAUGAUUUCAUUUUUAUAUCAGGGUUCAGUUUUUCAUAAACAUCAAGACCUUUUUCAAUACUGAGGAACUGCAGUGGGUUCUGCAGUGGGUAUUGCUGUACUAAAUUAAAUUAAUUUUAUAACCUAUUCAAUACUCAGAAACAUGAAAACAAGUUUUUCUCUGAGUUUAAAUCAGGUACAUUAUGCCUUUAAGGUUAAUAUAUUUUACAUAGUGCUUUGCAUAUUAACUGAAGGAGGUUGGUUUAGUUUUAUUCUUUUCAUUCUUUUAACAAAAGUCUUUUGCAUUGUGUAUUAUCUCUGUUAGUAAAAAGUAUAUAAUCUUCUCUGAUAACUUUCUAUUAUGGUAGAGAAGAUUCAACAAAGACUUUAAUUUCUUUUGUCUUAUAUUGUAAACCAGGAUAGUUAAGGGGAAAAAGAAUCUUUUAAGAACGUGGUAUCUGCUUGUAAAUAUAAUAGUGUCAUUCAUCAUUAGAGAUAACAUGCAGGGGUUAGAGCUGUGUGAGCCAUUUAAAAAUCAAAAGCAGUGCACUCAGAGUGUAGCCAUGUUUGAAGGAGCAGUACAUAAAAGUUACCCCUCAAGAACAUACCGUUCUGAAGGGUAACCAAAUAUAAUUAUUUCAUGUGGUGCCACAUAAUUGAGAUGACUUGGAAUUCUCCCUCUUGUAGCACUUCUGAUCUGUCUCUUAAGUUUGACAGGGUAAGGUUAAAUCUCCUUCUGUCACAAGUUGGGAAGUACUUCUGGUGUUAAGAAUAGCUCAUUAAAGGUGGAUGGAAUGUCUCAUGUACAUAUUAAUUACCAUAACACUCAGUGAAUGUGUCCUGGCUGGCAGAAUGACAUACCUUGCUGCUGUAUCAAUGAAAACUGAGUUUCUUGUUGGUUAAAAAUAGGUCCAAUGAAAUAAAAACAUGGGAAAUGGAGCAAGAUUUUUUUUUAAAUAUACAUUUCUGUUCUAAACAAGUCAGCACCUAUUUCUUUUUAGAGAAAAUUUGAAUUGAACAUAGGACCAUGAUAAGAUAAUCUGGGACUAGAAUUUUUAUCUGAAAAAUUGAGUGCCUUUAUCUUGUUUCAACUGAACUUGCAUGAUAUUCCUGUUACCUGUGGAUACUUAGCACACUGCCACAGCUAGACAUUUUGACAUGGGUAUUCAAAUGCCAUUUUGAGUGAUUUUUUUGUAAGGCUAUGAUUAUCAACACCCAAAAGGAACAUUAAAUUACUGAGCAUGUUUUUCAAUGUGACUAAAUAGUCCCAGAAAUGUUUCUAAGCAUUCACUGACUGUCAGACAGCAAUGCCUUUAUAUGCAGUAGCACUGUCUCCCAUAGGAUCAGAGCAGUUGCUGGACCUUGCCUCUGCCUAAUCUCUUCAUUGCAGUCUUUCUGAGUGACAGGGCUCUGCCCAUGUAUCACUGUAGCAGAACUCCCCUGAGACACCCUCCUUUGAACCCGAGGAGCCUACAGCAACCCAGAUUCUUUAUUUCUGAAUAUAAAUCUCCUUCUCAUGAGUGUAUCCCUUUAAUGUCUGGCUUUCAGUACAUCUGAUUCUUCCUGCUUUGAGUGUCCUACAGCUAGCAGGUUUUGAUGAGCCCCAAAGAGGCACCUCUCUGUUUCUAACCUUAUUAACACAGGAUGAUUUGCCUCUGUGUGACAGUUCUCUCUGGGUACCACACCACUGUGCAGGGACUUGUGAUCUCUCCAAGAACUGUUUUACAGAAGAAAGCAAAAUGUUUCUCCUUCUGUAGCUUGUUGGAAAGUUUAUCCACUGCAAUACAUACAGGAAGCCAUCCUGCCAACAGUAUGCCAAGCAGUACUGCCAAGAGCCACGGGUGCUCUGCUCAGCAACCACUGUGUUUUUCAUUGCUGCUCUGGAGAUGCAGCCCCCUGGCUGGAUUUGCCCUGAGUUUGGAUUGUAAAACUUCAAACUGGAAAGCAAGGCUGUAAACUGGAGAAAGGCAAAAUAAGUCAUCCCUCAGCUACAAUUCUACCAUUUCUUUUUUCAUAACUCUUGAUGUAUUCUUGGCAAUAUUGCCAAUCACGGUCUGAGUCCCUGCUUCCUUAAUAAAUUUCAAGCAAAUUCACCAUGAAAAUACUAAGCAGAUGAAGUGAGAUAUGUGUAACAUUCCUGAAGCAGUUAUUCCUCCAAGUUCUAGUCAAGUCAGAGGCACUUACCCUGCUGCUUAGCUUUACUUGACAUAAGGAAGGAUCAAAUAACUCCUUCAUUAGUUGUUAGAGAAACCUUAGCCUAGGUUUAUUUUAACUACUGCAUCAACUUAACAUGAUUAUUUGUAACAGGAUGAUUCUUUGUAGUAUUUGAGAUGGCAAAAAUAUUUCUCUUUUGUAGGACCUGGUUCUUUCACCCCAGGCAGACAUCUUAUGUUCCUCUCUUCUCAAAGAAACAUCUGUGGGAUAAAGGGGGCACUCUGAGGCCUCAGGAGAGUUCUCGAAGCCCAGCUCACAGAUAAGACAGUUUACUGUAAUUCAUUUCCUAAUCUGCUUCAUACUGCUCUACAGCAUUAUUCAUUCUUCUCACCCUUAGGACUUAUUUUUUUUUUCAGCCUGCCAUACCAACAGACCUUAUUUAAUCCUGAAGAGCAGGAAUGUUAAUUGGGUUGAAAAUGGGUCACAGGUCCCUGACAGGAGCCUGCUCCAGUAUGGGCCUCCCAUGGAGUUUACAGCUUCCUCCAGGCAUCCUCCUGCUCCAGAGUGGAUCCUUCCUGGGCUGCAGGGGCACAGCUGCCUCAGCCCCCCAGGGGCUGCAGGGGAAUCUCUGCUCCUGUGCCUGGAGCAUCUCCUGCCCCUCCUUCCUCAUUAACCUUGGUGCUUGCAGAGCUGUUCCUCUCAUUCUCACUCUCCUCUCUGACUGUCAUUGUAUAUACAUUUUUUCCCCCUCUUAAAUAUGUUAUCUCCAGGGACAAUCACUGUCACUGCUGUGCUCAGCCUUGGUCAGUGGUGAGUCCAUCCUGGAGCCACCUGGAAUUGGCUCUGCUGGACACAGAGGAAGCUUCCAGCAGCUUCUCGCAGCAGCCACCCCUGUAGGCCUCCCUUCUAUCAGAACCUGACCAGCCCAAUACACCCUCCAUUAUCUCGUGGUGCUUUUCAAAUAAAUGAUUUCAUGUAACUCACAA